rnacentral:rRNA from 1 species
CCGGUCAUUCGCUGAUUAGCCACUGCACGGUUACGGUCUGCAUAUUCACCGGGCCAGUAACCCGCACCUUUUCGGGGUGGGAUAAGCGCGCUGAUUUUCUUACGCCGCAGUUCAUCGUGACAGAGCCGGGUGUCGUAAGCGCCGUCUGCCGAUGCGUGCUGAAAGCAUCUAAGCACGAAACUUGCCCCGAGAUGAGUUCUCCCUGAGACUUUAAGUCUCCUGAAGGAACGUUGAAGACGACGACGUUGAUAGGUCGGGUGUGUAAGCGCAGCGAUGCGUUGAGCUAACCGAUACUAAUGAACCGUGAGGC